rnacentral:tmRNA from 1 species
UUCGCACGCCGUGUUGCCGCAGGGCGAGAUCAAACGGUGAGCUAAGCAUGUAGUGCCGGGCAUGGAGUACCUUCGGACGGCGGUUCGAUUCCGCCCACCUCCACCA